CCUACGGGAGGCAGCAGUGGGGGAGAUUGGACAAUGGGGGAAACCCUGAUCCAGCGACGCCGCGUGAGUGAAGAAGGAUUUCGGUAUGUAAAGCUCUGUCAGCAGGGAAGAAAGAAAUGACGGUACCGGACCAAGAAGCCCCGGCUAACUACGGGCCAGCAGCCGCGGUAAUACGUAUGGGGCAAGCGUUAGCCGGAAUUACUGGGUGUAAAGGGAGCGGAGACGGUGAUGCACGUCUGGAGUGAAAGGCGGGGGCCCAACCCCCGGACUGCUCUGGAAACUGUGUAACUUGAGUGCAGGAGAGGUAAGCGUAUUUCCUUGUGUAGCGGUGAAAUGCGUAGAUAUUAGGAGGAACACCAGUGGCGAAGGCGGCUUACUGGACUGUACCUCACGUUGAGGCUCGAAAGCGUGGGGAGCAAACAGGAUUAGAUACCCCAGUAGUC
rnacentral:rRNA from 1 species